CAGGAGCUUGCUCCUGAAUUCAGCGGCGGACGGGUGAGUAAUGCCUAGGAAUCUGCCUGGUAGUGGGGGACAACGUUUCGAAAGGAACGCUAAUACCGCAUACGUCCUACGGGAGAAAGCAGGGGACCUUCGGGCCUUGCGCUAUCAGAUGAGCCUAGGUCGGAUUAGCUAGUUGGUGAGGUAAUGGCUCACCAAGGCGACGAUCCGUAACUGGUCUGAGAGGAUGAUCAGUCACACUGGAACUGAGACACGGUCCAGACUCCUACGGGAGGCAGCAGUGGGGAAUAUUGGACAAUGGGCGAAAGCCUGAUCCAGCCAUGCCGCGUGUGUGAAGAAGGUCUUCGGAUUGUAAAGCACUUUAAGUUGGGAGGAAGGGCAUUAACCUAAUACGUUAGUGUUUUGACGUUACCGACAGAAUAAGCACCGGCUAACUCUGUGCCAGCAGCCGCGGUAAUACAGAGGGUGCAAGCGUUAAUCGGAAUUACUGGGCGUAAAGCGCGCGUAGGUGGUUUGUUAAGUUGGAUGUGAAAUCCCCGGGCUCAACCUGGGAACUGCAUUCAAAACUGACAAGCUAGAGUAUGGUAGAGGGUGGUGGAAUUUCCUGUGUAGCGGUGAAAUGCGUAGAUAUAGGAAGGAACACCAGUGGCGAAGGCGACCACCUGGACUGAUACUGACACUGAG
rnacentral:rRNA from 1 species